CGCUCUAAAUUACUACAAAAACAAAGAAAGCUUGCUCGCACUUCUCUCAGGCAUUAGGAGUGAAGGUAUUAUUCUGUUGGACAUACGAAUUGUUUCUGCAUCUUCUGUAACUUAGAUUUGGAGAUUUUAAUUCUUUUUCAGUAAAAUAUGGAUUUUUUGAUUCCUCUGUUUCUUAAUCCUAAUUAGUAUCAUUCUUGUAGAAGGGCAGAGGAGAUUGAGAGUCAGUCCCAACUAUGAAGACCGCCGUCAUAAUUUCUGGAAAAUCAUUCAACUUUUUUUUAGCUCUCAACAUUAGGCAUUCAUACAUUUGAUUUCAUUCAGACAAUAACAAUUUGAAACUAUUCUUUGCAGCAUUGCUGUGGGCUAACAUAUUAGUCUUCUACGCCUUGUUUGAGAUGCAAGAUUAUCUCACAGAAGUUUGGGGGCUAAGUUUCACUCAUGCUGCCGAAAUCCUCAACAUCUGGAACGGAAUCUCCUUGGUUCUCCAACCCCUCUUCCUCUUCGCCGUCGGCACUUUUCUCGGAAACUUCGGCAUGCUCGUCAUCUCCAGCUCAUCCUACACUCUCGUCAGAGACUCCGGCCUUUUUUUUUUUAUAAAUUUUAAAGAUUGUGUGUGACGGUGAACUCAAAUUUGAGACCUUUAACCUUAAAAAAUCCCUUGACUCAGACUUAUUCUUUUAUAGGGAAUCUGGUUUCUAUUCAUCUUCAUCGCUGCGUGAAUGAUUCUAUUGCUCGGAUCCGGCGGUUGCUUACUGAUGAAUCACAGUUUUUAAUUUGUCGCUGACCGUGUUUUACAUGCGUUCUCUAAUUUUGGAGAUGAAAAAAAUCCAGUUACCUGUAAUAAAAUUGGAUCUUUAUUACUUAUGCUUAACUUUAGCUCUCGGAAGCUGCUGAUAGUGUUAUCCAUGAUUGUGUUGAUUAACUGUUGUUUGUGAUAUUAUUUCAUAAUUUUGCAUUGUACUUAAAUAUAUGCACCAAAAUCCUUUAAGAGAGUGAUAAUUAUCUGUUGUCAGCGACGACUAGGAGACUCCUAUUUUUUCCACAAUAAAUCAGAUGAUUUUAUACUGGGUAGUGGUAAAAAGUAAUGUGAUAAACAGGAAAAUUUAUUUUGUUUAAUUGCUUGAAUACAAAUCUAAUCUUCAGUUGCCCCUAGAAAUUGGUAUUUACGGGCUUUAUUCAGAGAUGAUAAUUGUGUAUGUCUGAUAGAAAUAUGAAAUUCCUAUGUGACCAAAAAUUCUUAUCCGACAAUGAUAUAGUGUCAUGCAAAGAGAUGAUGAUGGCAUGCAUUUUUUUUUUAUAUAAAUUUUAUUUUUAUUUAUAUGAAGUAUUGACAAUAAUAUUAAAAAGUUUUAUUUUUCCGUCGAAAUUCUACAGUCUUAUCAAUGUUAUGUUCAAUGGAAUGCAGGAGCUUGCAAUGACUGUUUUUAGGCUUCCUGUGUUUUUCAAGCAGAGGGACAGCCUGUUCUACGCAGCUUGGGCCUUCACGUUGCCAAUUUGGGUGCUUUGUAUUCCCAUCUCUGUCGUGGAGUCUGCAUUGUGGAUCAUCUUCACCUACUACACCAUUGGAUUUGCACCUUCUCCUGUUAGGUUCUUCAAACAACUGUUGGCCUUCACUGGGGUGCAUCAGAUGCCUCUCUCCCUCUUCCGUUUCAUUGCUGCAGUAGGAAAAACUCAAGUCGUUGGUAUUUGUGUUGGGAGGCUUUGUUGUUGCAAAGGAUUGGAUGAUAUGGGGUUACUACAUCUCUCCUAUGAUGUACGGACAGAAUGCAAUCGCCAUUAAUGAGUUCCUCUCUGAUAGAUGGAAUGCAACUGCGCCUGCUAAUUCAUCUGAGUCAACUGUAGGCAAAACCUUUCUCAAGGACAGAGGUUUGUUCACAACAGAGUCGUGGUACUGGAUCUGCAUCAUAGCUCUCUUUACCUUCUCUCUGCUGUUCAACGUUCUCUUCGUUGCUGCAUUGACAUACUUGAACCCUCUGGCUGAUAUAUCACAAGGCCAUCAUAAGCGAUGAAAACGAGGAGAGCAAGAACAAAAAACUGUGACAAAUUUGGGUUUUCUAUCUUUAGACCGAUUACGAGCCUGAACAAAAAAUUCGAACCCUCGAAUGUGGACAUGAAUACCACAAUGAGUGCAUAAAGAAGUGGUUGCUGAUGAAGAAUAGUUGCCCUGUGUGCAAAUCCCCAGCCCUGAGAGUCGAUUGAUGUUGGCCGAAAAGUUUGAACCUCUUGGUAAUUAUUCUAUAAUCAAGAGUACUUGAUUCAUGUAUUAUAUUUUUGUAUAUACAUGCAAAAAUAUUACUGCCUCCCAAAAUGUAUAGACCCAUUUGUUUGUGGUGCUUAUCAUGAAACAUGGAGUAGUAUUUAAUUUCCUACUUGAA